rnacentral:lncRNA from 1 species
UUGAAAGAAAACCAGCCAGUUAAAGCUUCGAUUGGAACCCUCAACUCUCCAUGACUGCAGAGUGAAAUAUAGCUCCGGGCAUAGAAAAUGUUCCUCCAGUGCUCCGAUAAAUAGCAUUCAGUUUUCAGCCCCAGGGAAUUCAAUGCAGCCCUAGUUACCCCUCACUGCCAUCACAGCCAUUGAUUCCUUGGGCAGUGGAAAUGAUUUAUGAAGAUUAGUGAGAGACUGAGCCAAUCUACUAUCCCCACAGAAGAUUUUUGCUGCCAUGGCCACCGGAACCAUAGCAAUGUACAGAAAUGUCCAAUUAUUUGGGCAGAGGGCAGUCAAGCCUAUGCUGAAUUGUAGACACUGCUGUGUUCCUGCACCUGUUUCAGUUAUCAGAGUCUCCUAA